UACGUAGGGGGCAAGCGUUAUCCGGAUUUACUGGGUGUAAAGGGAGCGUAGACGGUUUUUCAAGUCUGAAGUGAAAGCCCGCGGCUCAACUGCGGAACGGCUUUGGAAACUGAGGGACUAGAGUGCAGGAGAGGUAAGCGGAAUUCCUAGUGUAGCGGUGAAAUGCGUAGAUAUUAGGAGGAACACCAGUGGCGGAGGCGGCUUACUGGACGGUAACUGACGCUGAGGCUCGAAAGCGUGGGGAGCAAACAGG
rnacentral:rRNA from 1 species